CCGAUGUAGCUCAGUUGGUAGAGCAACGCAUUCGUAAUGCGUGGGUCGGGGGUUCGAAUCCCUCCAUCGGC
rnacentral:tRNA from 1 species